UGAAUAGUAGUUUAAGGAAAAUAAGAGCCUUUGAAGCUCUAGUUGUUAGGUCAUUUCUAACUUGUUCAA
rnacentral:tRNA from 1 species